rnacentral:rRNA from 2 species
UGGGGGAUAUUGCGCAAUGGGGGAAACCCUGACGCAGCAACGCCGCGUGAAGGAUGAAGGUUUUCGGAUUGUAAACUUCUUUGACGAGGGACGAAUAAUGACGGUACCUCGAAAACAAGCCACGGCUAACUACGUGCCAGCAGCCGCGGUAAUACGUAGGUGGCGAGCGUUGUCCGGAAUUACUGGGUGUAAAGGGCGUGUAGGCGGAUUUGCAAGUCAGAUGUGAAAUUCCCGGGCUUAACCCGGGCGCUGCAUUUGAAACUGUGGAUCUUGAGUGAUGGAGAGGAAAGCGGAAUUCCUAGUGUAGCGGUGAAAUGCGUAGAUAUUAGGAGGAACACCAGUGGCGAAGGCGGCUUUCUGGACAUUUACUGACGCUGAGGCGCGAAAGCGUGGGGAGCAAACAGG